GAAGAGUCAGACAGGACUUAGCAACUAAACACAACAACAAUCCCAUGCAGGGGAGCUCUGCUUUCAUGACCUAAUUAUUUUUAAAAAGCCCCACCUCCAAAGCCUCUCCUUAGGAGUUAGGUUUCGAUAUAUGAAAGGGGGGAUGCGCAAACAAUUAUCUAUAGCAGAGGUCUUUCCGUCUCAGUGGGUGGGACCCUGCCACAUUCUUCAUGCGCGCCGUUUGGUACUUCCCUGUGUGGAUGUGUUUUAGGAAAAACUCACUCACUCACUGUUUCCUUCUGCUUACGCUUGCAACAGUUCUGACGCCAGAUGUGUGGGUUUUCACACCAGGCAAUUCUGACCCUAACGGCCUAGGUUAGCGGAGACCCCAUAGGUUCAAAGUCCCAGCCCCAUAAGCCAUGGGUCCUUAGGUUACCUACAACUUCCGUCUGACUCGGCUACCAAUCAGAGGCUCCAAGGACCCCCUCUUUGGGUUUGAUAAUUUGCUGGAGGGUCACAGAACCCAGGAAAAGAGUUUACAAACUGUUGCUGAUUAAUUACAAAGGAUACCUUCUCAAGGCUACAAGGCCACUGGAUUCCAGACCUCCGGCUACGUGACUGCAGGACUCAGCUACAGGCUAAAAAUUAACCAUCCCUUCAGAGCAUUCUUCAUUGGCGGGGUAUAAGAAAGACCCCGUCAGAAAGGGAGGACACUGGUUCUCUUUAAGGGCCAGUCACCCUCUCAUUUUCCCUGUAAUAAAUUUCCUUUUCUUGCCUGACUUCCCAGUUCACUCUGUUUUUUUUUCACCCUUGCCUUCCAUUCUGGGAGGGAAUAUCCACCUCAACAGGGUGGGCUCCUCUCACGAGCCCACCUCUGGCGGCCCCCUCCCUUGGACCUUGCCGAGACACCGAGACGAGCUCCAGGACAGGACUCUCCACUUGCCUUGCUGGACUGACAUCCACACACCGGCCCACAUUUCAUCCCUCAGUUGCAAGGGAAGCAGCUGGAGCAGAAGGCUUUGUUUGGGUUCCUGUCCCAGCCUCCCUCACCGAUCUAUCUAUCGCAAAUCAAAAAGUAGCAUCUUGGUUCCUUCUCCUCAGACCCGGAUAAUUAUCUAGAAGAAUUCAGGGAUCCGGACAUACCCUCCUGGUCCCGAGCAGCAGUCCUCUGACCCAGCUCUGCCCAGCCUCCUUGGACCCGCUGUUGAGGAUUAGAGGUGCCCAGGGCUCCAGGCCCCGACUCUCGCCACCUCUAAGGAGCCCAGGGUAACUCUCACAGCGUCAGGUGCUUGCUGUUCAGCCAGUGCUGUGAUGAGUAUCCCCGCCCCAUGUGGCCGGGCAGGGAUACGUUCCCAUGGGACGCAUCCAUGAUGUCAACCUCCACUGCAAUCCCUCCCCUCCUGGGGCCUCCUGCAGAACUUUCCUUGGAGUUCCUGGGCUGAGCAUUUGCCAGAAGCUAGAGUCAGAUGGUGACUAGGUUCAAAUACCAGUUGCUCCAUCAACAUCUCUCCCUGCGUCAGUGUUCUCAACCCUACAAAGGAGAUGAUAAUCAUGGUACCACUUCCAGAGUUGUCUUGAGUAUUACAUGCAGUAACGUGUUAUAGCCCCUGGAUCAGGGGAAGGACUCAGGAUGGCUCGCUGCCCUCUCCUUCCCCCUCUGAUAUCCUAUCUACCCUAUGGAGUGCCAAGCUUUGCACGUGGGCCCUGGUCUAGUCUAGUCUGCACGCCGCAGCUUCCCCGGAUGUGGAUGUGGUGGGUGCACAAUAAAUAAAUGGCCCGUGCGUGUGCCGUGAGGUGCAAUCCUCCAGCUUUGGCCUGACCCCCACUCCGCUAGGCCUGGGGGAUGGGGAGGAGUAGAAGUGCCUUUCUCUG